rnacentral:rRNA from 2 species
UCUUGUGCAAUAAACGAAAGUAUGACACAGAGAGGACACAUUUAAUUGAGCCCGUCAAAUUAAGUGCCAGCCGACGCGGUUAAACUUAAGGGCUGGUCUUUAUAAGUAAAAAGGCGUAAAGGAUGUGUAGGCCAAGAAACGAUCCAAGUAGGUAAAUGGAAUUUUUCUGGAGCGGUAGAAUGUGAGGAUAGAAAAUAGAACCCCUAAGGUAAAAACUAUUUACUACAAGGUAGGCUGAAACAUGAGAGUGUGGGGAGCAAACAGGAUUAGAGACCCUGGUAGUCCACACUGUAAACUUUGAAGAUGAUGCUUAGCAGACCCGAAAGGUAAAAUCUUCCGCCUGAGUAGUACGAUCGCAAGAUUAAAAUUCAAAAACUUUGGCUGUUCACUAUUUCGAUUAGAGGAGCGUGUAGUUUAAUUCGAUGGUCCGCGUGUUACCUUACCCCAACUUGAAUCUGUGACCGGUAUUGCAUGGCCGUCGUAAGUUCGUGUAUUAAGCUAGAAGGGACCCAACCCGGGCAUUUGCCCGGAGGAAGUCAGGUCUUAUGAUCCGAAUGUUGGGGGAUUUUAUGCGCUACAUUUUCUUAUAUAAUGAGAAACCUGGAAGGUGAGUCUCUAAAGUAAGAGUUCGGAAGGUCGCUGUAAGACGACUGGAAGUUGGAUUUAAUAGUAAUCGGAAAGUAGGGCGUUCCGGUGAAUUGGUACAAGUGUUAGCACAAAUUGCCCGUCACCUUUACUUAGAAUGGUUAUUCGG